AAAUUGAAGAGUUUGAUCAUGGCUCAGAUUGAACGCUGGCGGCAGGCCUAACACAUGCAAGUCGAACGGUAGCACAGAGAGCUUGCUCUCGGGUGACGAGUGGCGGACGGGUGAGUAAUGUCUGGGAAACUGCCUGAUGGAGGGGGAUAACUACUGGAAACGGUGGCUAAUACCGCAUAACGUCGCAAGACCAAAGAGGGGGACCUUCGGGCCUCUUGCCAUCAGAUGUGCCCAGAUGGGAUUAGCUUGUUGGUGAGGUAACGGCUCACCAAGGCGACGAUCCCUA
rnacentral:rRNA from 1 species